CCCUAGCCCCGAUAGAAGUGGAAAUCCUUUUAUGCCGGGGUUCGGCAUGAAAGAUUAGAACGGAUAGCGGGAACAGCU
rnacentral:sRNA from 1 species